ACGUAGGUGGCAAGCGUUGUCCGGAAUUAUUGGGCGUAAAGGGCGCGCAGGCGGCCGAUUAAGUCUGAUGUGAAAUCCCACGGCUUAACCGUGGAAGGUCAUUGGAAACUGAUUGGCUUGAGUGCAGAAGAGGAGAGUGGAAUUCCACGUGUAGCGGUGAAAUGCGUAGAUAUGUGGAGGAACACCAGUGGCGAAGGCGGCUCUCUGGUCUGCAACUGACGCUGAGGCGCGAGAGCGUGGAUAGCAAUCAGGA
rnacentral:rRNA from 1 species